rnacentral:sRNA from 1 species
GUUUGAAAAUGCUCAUCGAUCUGCUCUAACGUUUGCCUAUAUAAGAAGAGCAUUUUCUGAAAUUGUGGAAUUGAUUUCAAUCUCUAGUCAACUUCGACGACAAGAAUAUGAAUUUAUUUCGCUUCUGUUUAGUAUUUGGGGCAGUAUUUCUAGCAUCCCUGCCCAUGGUAACUCCUAAACGAGGCUGCCGCGGUGGUUGCAGGUUGAAGCCUGUUAGAGGAAGCCGUUUUGGUUAAGGCAACAGAUAUCGUCAAUAACUUUCGCUUUUAAAGUAUGAGAAAAAUUAAAUAAUUUUUUUUAUUCUAUUUUUAUUUUA